AGAGCUCACUGAAACUGUCAGACUUACCUGCAAGGGCCUGGGAUUCUAAAUUUCACUCUGUCACUCUUGGAGGUGAGGGGAAAGCUGUAUGGGCAUUGAGGUGACAUUUCUGGGCUUUGAUGUCUCCAUAGGAAAGGACAUAUAAAUACAAAAUGUGGUUAACCCUAAUUAACCCCUAAUUCAGACCGUUGGGGACAGAACCAAGGUCUAUUAAUUUUUUCUAAAAAAGGAAGGAAAUUAGAAAAGAAUGUUUCUCUCGAUUGUGUAGAAGAGUUGGACGAGGUGAACAUUCCGCUGGGUGGCUCUGUCACAAACUAGCUUUUGUUCAAUCAUUCAAGACAUAUCGACUGCCAAACACUGCUCUAGGCUCCUGAAAAAAUGAUCAUGGCAAGACAGUUACAGACCAUGCCUCUUCAUGGAACUUACCAAGAUGUGUGCUUGGGGAAACACACUGACUGUCUUUGGACUACUUGUUUCUUAAUUAAUUAGUAAUAGCUGACACUUAGGGAGCACUUACCACAUACCAGUUUCUGUGCGAAACCCUCACUUUGCACUCCUUUUAAAAAUAGCUAUUUUCUGGCCAGACAUGGUGGCUCACGCCUGUAAUCCCAGCACUUUAUGAGGCUGAGGUGGGUGGAUCACCUGAGGUCAGGAGUUCGAGAC
rnacentral:lncRNA from 1 species